rnacentral:rRNA from 1 species
GACGAACGCUGGCGGCGUGCUUAACACAUGCAAGUCGAACGGAAAGGCCCUGCUUUUGUGGGGUUCUCGUGUGGCGAACGGGUGAGUGACACGUGAGUAACCUGCCCUUGACUUUGGGAUAACUUCAGGAAACUGGGGAUAAUACCGGAUAGGAGCUCCUGCUGCACGGUGGGGGUUGGUAAGUUUCGGUCGUUGGGGCUGGACUCGCGGCUUAUCAGCUUGUUGGUGGGGUAGUGGCUUACCAGGGCUUCGACGGGUAGCCGGCCUGAGAGGUUGACCGGCCACAUUGGGACUGAGAGACGGCCCAGACUCCUACGGGAGGCAGCAGUGGAGAAUAUUGCACAAUGGGCGGAAGCCUGAUGCAGCAGCGUCGCGUGCGGGAUGACGGCCUUCGGGUUGUAAACCGAUUUCGCCUGUGACGAAGCGUGCGUGACGGUAAUGGGUAAAGAAGCACCGGCUAACUACGUG